AAUUAUUUAGGGAUACAAAGACAUAUUGCCAGAGGUUUCCUUUAAGAGACUACAGCUGGCCGUGCGCGGUGGCUCACACCUGUAAUCCCAGCACUUUUGGAGGCCGAGGCGGGCGGAUCACAAGGUCAAGAGAUCGAGACCAUCCUGGCUAAUACAGUGAAACCCCAUCUCUACUAAAAAUACAAAAAAUUGGCCGGGCGUGGUGGUGGGCACCUGUAGCCCCAGCUACUCAGCAGGCUGAGGCCCAAGAAUAGCAUGAACCCGGGAGGCAGAGCUUGCAGUGAGCCGAGAUUGCACCACUGCAUUCCAGCCUGGGUGACAGAGCAAGACUCGUCUCAAAAAAAAAAUAAAACCCCACAGCCAAAAGAAAAAACAAAAGAGAGAGAGAAGAAGGGCAGAGAGAAAAAGGGAGGGAGAAAAGGAGGAGGAAGAAUGAAAGUUGAAGCAAAUAUGGCAUUAUGUUCAUCACUGUUGAAUCUAGGAAUAGGUAUUUUCUCUAGUUUUGUGAAUGUUUGAAUAUUUUCAUAAUAAAACAGGGUUUCAAAAGGCUUUCUGGGAAAGUAAAUGUAAAGGAGUUGAUAAAAAUAAUGUCAAACAAUCUUUGCAUUCAUUUCAUUCCUGUAGCUUUUCCCAGGCUUCUGCGAGCCAGCCCCUGAAGGCUUCAUUGGCCACAGACAUCUGAACCAACUAAGAGCAGGAAUUCCCCUGAGGGAGAGUGUGCCUGAGAAUGGAAAGAACAAGGAGGAGAAUAAGGCAAAGAGAUGGAGAGACUGCAUCCUGAUGACAUCUUUAGAGCCCGUGGAGCUAGGCAUGCCAGAAACUGGAAGGUUAAACUACAUGAACCAAUAAAUAUACC
rnacentral:lncRNA from 1 species